CGGGUCCUUUCGGGGACUGCGGCUGCUUCCCUGUUCGUAGACUCAGCAGCCGGCGAUGUGACUUCAAGGCCCCCUCGAGCUCUGCCUUCUUAAAAAAUAAAACGUAGACCUCUCCUUAGCCAUGUGGGUUAUGUGAGAGCAGCCUGAUGUGGUGCUGCUAUUCAUUCAUUCAUUAGUUCAUUCACUCAUCUGGGAUCGAGAGCAUGGUGUGCCAGGCACCUUAGCAGAGCAGAAGACAGAGCGAGAACCCGGCAGACACCGCCACUGCUCCUGUGGGAUCUGAGGUUUAGUGGGGACACAAGGAAUUGAGCACAUGGCACGGAAAGUGCCCUUAAACCAGCCCGGGAAGAUGAAGGCGAGCUUCCUGGAGGAAGAGGCACCUAAGCUGAUGACUGAAGGAAAACGAUGUCUGUAUGGGUCUCCCCGGUUUUGCCCACAACUGCAGGGUCCUAUGGAUGCCCAGUGGAGCCCACGGUGAGAACCUGAGGGUGAGGCUGAAGAGACCAUGCUCCCCUGUG
rnacentral:lncRNA from 10 species